UUUGCUGAGCUACUUGCUCCUUACACCGGCGAUAUCGCCGCCGAAGGCAUCGCGAAAGUGCUGCGCGGCGGUGCAAAGCGUUUCCAACAUGGCCUGCAGCGUCAGCAGCAGUACGUGGGCGAAGCCAUAACGGAAGAGUGGCGUCUGGCACCCGGUGGGCUGGAGGUUGCCUGGUUUGCCGAGGAGGCCGCCGCCGUCGCGCGCUCGGUUGAUGCGUUAACCAAACGGCUGGAAAAACUGGAGGGCAAAUGA
rfam:Escherichia vulneris NBRC 102420 DNA, contig: EV10242039.